rnacentral:rRNA from 1 species
UACGGGGGGGGCAAGCGUUGUUCGGAAUUACUGGGCGUAAAGGGCUCGUAGGCGGCCAACUAAGUCAGACGUGAAAUCCCUCGGCUUAACCGGGGAACUGCAUCUGAUACUGGAUGGCUUGAGUUCGGGAGAGGGAUGCGGAAUUCCCAGUGUAGGAGGUAGAAAUUCGUAGAUAUUGGGAAGAACACCGGUGGCGAAGGCGGCGAGCUGGCCUGUACCUGACGCUGAGGCGCGACAGC